GACGAACGCUGGCGGCGUGCCUAAUACAUGCAAGUAGAACGCUGAAGGAGGAGCUUGCUUCUCUGGAUGAGUUGCGAACGGGUGAGUAACGCGUAGGUAACCUGCCUGGUAGCGGGGGAUAACUAUUGGAAACGAUAGCUAAUACCGCAUAAGAGUAGAUGUUGCAUGACAUUUGCUUAAAAGGUGCAAUUGCAUCACUACCAGAUGGACCUGCGUUGUAUUAGCUAGUUGGUGAGGUAACGGCUCACCAAGGCAACGAUACAUAGCCGACCUGAGAGGGUGAUCGGCCACACUGGGACUGAGACACGGCCCAGACUCCUACGGGAGGCAGCAGUAGGGAAUCUUCGGCAAUGGACGGAAGUCUGACCGAGCAACGCCGCGUGAGUGAAGAAGGUUUUCGGAUCGUAAAGCUCUGUUGUAAGAGAAGAACGAGUGUGAGAGUGGAAAGUUCACACUGUGACGGUAUCCUACCAGAAAGGGACGGCUAACUACGUG
rnacentral:rRNA from 1 species